rnacentral:rRNA from 1 species
AAUUGGAAUGAUAGAAAUUUAAACACUUUUUAAAGUAUCAAUUGGAGGGCAAGUCUGGUGCCAGCAGCCGCGGUAAUUCCAGCUCCAAUAGCGUAUAUUAAAAUUGUUGCAGUUAAAAAGCUCGUAGUUGAAUUUCUGCUAAAAAUAACCGGUCUGCUUUUAAUAAAGGUGGUAUCUUGGUGUGUUUUUAGCAAUAAUGUCCUUUGAAAUGUUUUUUACUUCAUUGUAAUAAAUUAUAUUUAGGAUUUUUACUUUGAGAAAAUUAGAGUGUUUCUAGCAGGCUAAUGCUUUGAAUACUGCAGCAUGGAAUAAUAAAAUAGGAUUUUGGUUCUACAUUAUUGGUUUUAAGAGCUAAAUUAAUGAUUGAUAGGGACAGUUGGGGGCAUUUGUAUUUAACUGUCAGAGGUGAAAUUCUUAGAUUUGUUAAAGACAAACUACUGCGAAAGCAUUUGCCAAAGAUGUUUUCAUUAAUCAAGAACGAAAGUUAGGGGAUCGAAGACGAUCAGAUACCGUCGUAGUC